rnacentral:rRNA from 1 species
GACGAACGCUGGCGGCGUGCUUAACACAUGCAAGUUGAACAGACAGACAGAGAGCUUGCUCUCUUGAAGUUAGUGGCGAACGGGUGAGUAACGCGUAAUCAACCUGCCCUUCAGAGGGGGAUAACAACGGGAAACCGUUGCUAAUACCGCGUACGAUUCAUGAACGGCAUCGUUUAUGAAUGAAAGGUGGCCUCUAUGUAUAAGCUAUCGCUGAAGGAGGGGAUUGCGUCUGAUUAGCGAGUUGGAGGGGUAACGGCCCAACAAGGCAAUGAUCAGUAGGCGGUCUGAGAGGAUGAACGGCCACAUUGGGACUGAGACACGGCCCAAACUCCUACGGGAGGCAGCAGUGGGGAAUCUUCCGCAAUGGACGAAAGUCUGACGGAGCAACGCCGCGUGAGUGAUGAAGGUCUUCGGAUUGUAAAGCUCUGUUAAUCGGGACGAAAGAGUUCUGCGUGAAUAAUGCAGAAAAGUGACGGUACCGGAAUAGAAAGCCACGGCUAACUACGUGCCAGCCGCCGCCGUAA